AUUUGCAGUGGAUGGGUUGGAUAAAAGAACUCAGUGGAGCAGGGAAGGAGAACAAAACAGCGCCGGGAGGUGACCGAACAGGUUCCCAAAAAGGAAAAACCACCGGGCCACAGGCGCUUUUCCAGCUGAGCCCAGCGGAGGGCAGGUGGCGGGGAGGAGGAUGAGCACGGCACACCUGGAAUCCCUGUCCCCUUCCCGAGGCAGACUUCCCGCAGGAGAACAAUCAGCCUUUGUCCCACACCGGGACAAAGCCGCGGCGCUCCGCAGCUCAAAGUUCGGCCGAGCGAUUCCGGGGAGCUGUUCCACGCUGCUCCUCCUUCCAUCCCGCUCCUCACUCCCUCCUGCACCCACCCGGGGAACUCCAGGAAAAUAAAGUAACGAAUAUUGAGGAUGAA